rnacentral:lncRNA from 1 species
GGCCCUUUCCGGCAACCUGAUUGGUUAAAAUGACUUCCUUGUUUCAAAAUAUCUCCCACGAAGAAUCUACGUAAAGACAUAGAAGGAGAAAAUCUCGAAGAAUAUACCUACAGUAUGUGAACAAAAAUAGGCGAUCUCAGUUAGCCAAUGAGAGAAAAGCAGUGAAUGAAAGAAAAAGAUUAGCCUGAUCAGCCAAUCGAGGCAGUGGCAGUACAGGUAGAGGAGGAAAAGGAAGUAGCCGGCAGCAGCACGUUGAGACGCAAAUUAGUUGAGAUGAAGUUGAUAGCUAGCAGCGAUCAACCAGUCAGCAGCCAGCCAACAGAGGCUUUUAUUCCACAUGUCACAAAUAAACUAACUUGAUUUGCCUUAAGUGUGUAAACACUGGACUGAAAAUCACCAUAGACACCACCAACCAGGGAUUCUGUAAAUCUAGAUAAAAUGUGCACACUAUGAAGCUGAUCAUGAUGCAUUUAGGAGGAGUGUUUACACUUCCUUCAGGCUGCAGGAGUGCUCCAGGGGAGAUGUGGCAUUUGAUAUACAUUUGAGGAUGGUUGUUCUAGCCCACGAACUUGGACUUGGUUAUGCAGCUCUAAAGAAAAUAAGCAAAGUCCUAGGGACUCCUUCCUUGCGUCUCAGCUCAUAUCAGACAUGUCAGGAGAGUGACAGUUGCAGAGAUUCAGAGUGCUGCAAUGCUUUCCACAGUUGUCUCAAGUUGGCUGGAUGUCCUUUGGGUGGUGGAUCAUUCUUGAUGCACACAGAAAACUGUUGAGCGCAAAAAGCCCAGCAGCCUGGUAGCUACUACCAUACCCCAUUCAAAGGCACUUAAAUAUUUUA